rnacentral:rRNA from 1 species
GCUGGCGGCACGCCUAAUACAUGCAAGUCGAACGAAGUAGCAAUACUUAGUGGCAGACGGGUGAGUAACAUGUGGGUAUCUUCCCUUUGGUGAGGAAUAACACGAGGAAACUUGUGCUAAUACCUCAUAAGUCUUUACGGAGAAAGCUUUAUGCGCCAAUGGAUGAGCCCGCACUUGAUUAGUUAGUUGGUAGGGUAAUGGCCUACCAAGACAUUGAUCAAUAGCUGAUUUGAGAGGAUGAUCAGCCACAUUGGGACUGAGACACGGCCCAAACUCCUACGGGAGGCAGCAGUAGGGAAUCUUGCACAAUGGGGGCAACCCUGAUGCAGCGAUGCCGCGUGAGUGAAGAAGGCCUUUGGGUUGUAAAGCUCUUUCGUCGGGGAAGAAAAUGACUGUACCCGAAUAAGAAGGUCCGGCUAACUUCGUGCCAGCAGCCGCGGUAAUACGAAGGGACCUAGCGUAGUUCGGAAUUACUGGGCUUAAAGAGUUCGUAGGUGGUUAAAAAAGUUGGUGGUGAAAUCCCAGAGCUUAACUCUGGAACUGCCAUCAAAACUUUUUAGCUAGAGUAUGAUAGAGGAAAGCAGAAUUUCUAGUGUAGAGGUGAAAUUCGUAGAUAUUAGAAAGAAUACCAAUUGCGAAGGCAGCUUUCUGGAUCAUUACUGACACUGAGGAACGAAAGCAUGGGUAGCGAAGAGGAUUAGAUACCCUCGUAGUCCAUGCCGUAAACGAUGUGUGUUAGACGUUGGAAAUUUUUUUCAGUGUCUCAGCGAAAGCAAUAAACACACCGCCUGGGGAGUAC